rnacentral:rRNA from 1 species
AUGGCGGAGCAGUCUGUGCGCCGUGGGGUGUUGGCGGAGCCCGACGAGGAUGAGUGGCUCCUCACUUGGGUCUACCGUCAGUCGCUCACGAUGGUGGAGACGGACGCUCGCCGCCUACGGAAGAAGAACGCGAAGGCGCUCUGGCUUGUCAUAGAGCAGCUGGAGCGCGAGUCGAAGGAGGCGGCGGCGGAGGCCGCUCGGCUCAUGAAGUUGAAGCGGCAGCAGGACAGGGUCGUCCGCCGGAAGAAGGGGUUGAUCGUCCUCUCCGACUCCAACUCCGAUGACGUGAUGGCGACGACCACAACUCCAUCUCCUCCCCUGAUGACCAAGAUCCUCCACCAGUCGCGGAAGCUUACAGCUAUGCCGACGAACGGAAGGGAAAGGCCCCGCGAGGAAGUGGUGAUGACGCUCCUCCUAUAUUUUUAUCGUUUUAGUUGUUGA